AUGGACCAAUCCAUUCCUUUUUCCCGUGCAUAUGCAUCAGACUCGGAUGACGAUGGUCCCGAUGAAAAAGUUGAUGAGGAUGAGUUCACGCCGAAGGAGGCCCAAUCAUUCAAGAAGGUAUUCAAGCGGGAUCACAAGACACCAUUGUUCAAGGAUCUUAGUCUCGCGGAUGAAGCCGUUGUGGAUGGUGGCAAAUGCAUAUCUCUUGGAGCUAGGCCAAGUUCUCACCGUGAUUUGAAAGACGGCAAGAACAGGAUAUAUCCCGGUUGUGAGUUUCAAUACUUCUUAAAAUUGAAGAUGUGGCUCGACAACUACUCGGUUACACAUUAUUGUCCACAUAAAGUGGCCAACUCGGACGUCAAUGUGCGUUACACGGUCAAAUGUGAAGUGCCAAGAUGUUCAUGGAUUGUGCAUGCAAGGCCAUGA
rnacentral:rRNA from 1 species